rnacentral:rRNA from 1 species
UCGGCGUAUCAUUCAAUUAUUCAGUUACAUUAUUUUUAUGUUGUGACCUCUGAGCUCCAGAUUGGGACAGAGGGAAUCAGCAUAAUUUUUUGUGGUGCAUUUACUUGAUUGGUGCUUGGGGAUGUUUGAGGCAGAUUUGUUUCCGUCGUUUUGAGGCCAGCUUGCUGGUACCCAAACGGUGUUAGCAUUUUUUGUCUUGGGCAUUUGAGUAUGGCUCACGUGUAUUUAUUGGACAGAUCUGAGUGUAAGUUACGGUCGCAUGCGACACGUGCUUUUCAAUUAGUUCGGUCCAGUUAAUGCUCUCGUACUCGUUCCCCAUGUAAAAGCCGGUCAUCUAUCCGACCCGUCUUGAAACACGGACCAAGGAGUUUAUCGUGUGCGCAAGUUUUUGGGUGUUAAAAACUUAAAAGCGAAAUGAAAGUAAAUGACUCUUUAGAGUCUGAUGUGCGAUCUUGUAAAAAAGUGUAGCAUGGCCCCAUUCUAACUGUUUACAGUAGGGUGGCGGAAGAGCGUACGCGGUGAGACCCGAAAGAUGGUGAACUAUUCCUGAGCAGGACGAAGCCAGAGGAAACUCUGGUGGAAGUCCGAAGCGGUUCUGACGUGCAAAUCGAUCGUCUG